AAUAUCUAGGAGUGUGAUUGCUGGCUCAUAUGGUAAGACUAUGUUUAGCUUUGUAAGAAACUGUCAGACUGUCUUCCAAAGUAUCUGAACCAUUUUGAAUUUCAAUAAUGAAUGAAAGUUCCAGUUGCUCCAUAUCCUCACGAACAUUUGAUGUUGUUUCAGGAUUGUUUGGCCAAUCUAACAGAAUUUGGAUUCAUAGCAAGAUGUUCUGAAGAACAGCAACAACCCUCUAGGGGAUAGCCACUUCAACAUCAUGACCAAAGGCAAAGAAUCUGCUGUCAGAAACCUUCAUUUUGUUUACAUCCUGACCUUAGUAUUUGGAACCAUAAUCCAUUUCUCUGAUGAAAGUGAAUUUGUGGUGGACAUGUCAAAAACAGGCCUUAUUCGUGUUCGCAAAGACCUGCCACCAAAAACCAAAGUCUUAGAUAUGUCUCAAAACUACAUAUCUGAGAUUCACCUCUCUGACAUCGGCUUUCUCUCAGGGCUGAAAGUUUUGAGACUUUCCCAUAAUAGAAUCCAGUACCUUGAUAUUAGUAUUUUCAAGUUCAACCAGGAUUUGGAAUAUUUGGAUUUAUCUCACAAUUGGUUGCAGAAGAUAUCCUGUCAUCCGAUCACUACAAGUCUCAAGCAUUUAGACCUCUCAUUCAAUGACUUUGAUGCCCUGCCCAUCUGUAAGGAAUUUGGCAACUUGACUCAACUGAAUUUCUUAGGAUUAAGUGCUACAAAGUUACAGCAAUUAGAUCUACUACCAAUUGCUCACUUGCACCUAAGUCGCAUCCUUCUGGAUUUGGAAGGUUAUUUUGUGAAAGAAAAUGAGAAAGAAAGUCUUCAAAUUCUGAAUACAAAGGAACUUCACCUUGUUUUUCACCCAAAUAGCUUCUUCUCUGUCCAAGUGAACAUAUCAGUGAAUAGUUUAGGGUGGUUACAACUGACUAAUAUUAAAUUGAAUGAUGACAGCUGUCAAGUUUUAAUUAAAUUUUUGUCAGAACUCACUAGAGGGCCAACCUUACUGAAUUUUACCCUAAACCAUAUGGAAACAACUUGGAAAUGUUUGGUUGGAGUUUUUCAAUUCCUUUGGCCCAAACCUGUAGAAUAUCUCAAUAUUUACAAUUUAACAAUAGUUGAAAGCAUCAAUAAAGAAGUUUUUACUUAUCAUGAAACAACAUUGAAAGCACUGAAUAUAGAACAUAUUAUAAACAGAGUUUUUAUUUUUUCACAGACAGCAUUAUACACAGUGUUUUCUGAGAUGACUGUUACGAUGUUAACCAUAUCAGACACACCUUUUGUACACAUGCUUUGUCCUCAGAAACCAAGCACAUUUACAUUUUUGAACUUCACCCAGAAUAUUUUCACAGAUAGUGUUUUUCAAAAUUGCCACACUUUAGUUAGAUUGGAGACACUUAUUCUACAAAAGAAUGAAUUAAAAGACCUUUUCAAAGUAGGUCUCAUGACUAAGGAUAUGCUCUCUUUGGAAAUACUGGAUGUUAGCUGGAAUUCUUUGGAAUAUGAUAGACAUGAUGGAAAUUGCACUUGGGUUGGGAGUAUAGUGGUGUUAAAUUUAUCUUCAAAUAUACUUACUGACUCUGUUUUCAGAUGUUUACCUCCCAGGGUCAAGGUUCUUGAUCUCCACAAUAACAGAAUAAGGAGCAUCCCUAAAGAUGUCACCAGUCUAGAAACUUUGCAAGAACUCAAUGUUGCUUCCAAUUCUUUAGCCCACCUUCCUGGAUGUGGUACCUUUAGCAGCCUUUCCAUACUGAUCAUUGACUAUAAUUCAGUCUCCAACCCAUCAGCUGAUUUCUUCCAGAGCUGCCAGAAGAUUAGGUCCCUAAAAGCAGGGAACAAUCCAUUCCAAUGUACAUGUGAGUUAAGAGACUUCAUCCAAAGUGUAGGCCAAGUAUCAGGUGAAGUGGUAGAGGGUUGGCCUGAUUCUUAUAAGUGCGAUUAUCCAGAAAGCUAUAAGGGAACCCCACUAAAGGACUUCCAUGUAUCUCCAUUAUCCUGCAACACAGCUCUGCUGAUUGUCACCAUUGGGGUCCCUGGGCUGGUAUUGGCUGUUACCGUGACUGCCCUCUGCAUCUACUUGGAUCUGCCCUGGUAUCUCAGGAUGGUGUAUCAGUGGACCCAGACCCGGCGCAGGGCUAGGAAUGUACCCUUAGAAGAACUCCAAAGAACUGUCCAGUUCCAUGCUUUUAUUUCAUACAGUGAACAUGAUUCUGCCUGGGUGAAGAAUGAGUUAAUACCAAACCUAGAAAAAGAAGAUAUAAGAAUUUGUCUCCAUGAGAGAAACUUUGUUCCUGGCAAGAGCAUCGUGGAAAAUAUCAUAAACUGCAUUGAGAAAAGUUACAAGUGCAUCUUUGUUUUGUCUCCCAACUUUGUCCAGAGUGAGUGGUGCCAUUAUGAACUCUACUUUGCCCACCACAAUCUCUUCCGUGAAGGAUCUAAUAACUUAAUCCUGAUCUUGCUGGAUCCCAUUCCACAGGACAGCAUUCCUGGCAAGUAUCACAAGCUGAGGGCUCUCAUGGCCCAGAGAACUUAUUUGGAAUGGCCCAAGGAGAAGAGCAAACAUGGACUUUUUUGGGCUAAUAUUAGAGCUGCUUUUAAUAUUAAAUUAAUACUAGUCACUGAAAAUGAUGAUGUGAAAGCUUAAAAAGAUCAGACGUCCAACUUAAGAAACCAUCAUUAACUUGAAUUCUGAUGGACACUGUGCUUUCAAGUUAUUGUGUUUGCUGCCUCCAUUAUCUCCAUGCAUUCAGGAAACACUUAAUGAAAACUGUGUUUCAGUUGAACUGGGAACCAGACUGGGGGCUGUGGUGGUGCUCAAACGUGCUGAUGACAGAGGAUUUUGUGUGAGCAGGAGUUUAUGAGACUUCAUGGAAGGAAAGAGUCAACCUCAGAACUGUAUGCAGUGGAGUGUCCUGUGAAUCCUCAUCGGCCUCUGGUCGGCUCUGUUAUCCUGCUCUACUUUGGGGCUGGGGGAGAAAUUAGACCAGAUAUGGAAAAUAAAGAUACUUUUUUUUUUCUUCA